UACGUAGGGGGCAAGCGUUGUCCGGAAUCAUUGGGCGUAAAGCGCGUGUAGGCGGCUCGGUAAGUCCGCUCUGAAAGUCCAGGGCUCAACCCUGGGAUGCCGGUGGAUACUGUCGGGCUAGAAUCCGGAAGAGGCGAGUGGAAUUCCUGGUGUAGCGGUGAAAUGCGCAGAUAUCAGGAGGAACACCGAUGGCGAAGGCAGCUCGCUGGGACGGUAUUGACGCUGAGACGCGAAAGCGUGGGGAGCAAACAGG
rnacentral:rRNA from 1 species